rnacentral:rRNA from 1 species
GAUGAACGCUGGCGGCGUGCCUAAUACAUGCAAGUCGAGCGAACAGAUGAGGAGCUUGCUCCUCUGACGUUAGCGGCGGACGGGUGAGUAACACGUGGAUAACCUACCUAUAAGACUGGGAUAACUUCGGGAAACCGGAGCUAAUACCGGAUAAUAUAUUGAACCGCAUGGUUCAAUAGUGAAAGACGGUUUUGCUGUCACUUAUAGAUGGAUCCGCGCCGCAUUAGCUAGUUGGUAAGGUAACGGCUUACCAAGGCAACGAUGCGUAGCCGACCUGAGAGGGGGAUCGGCCACACGGGAACUGAAACACGGUCCAGACUCCUACGGGAGGCAGCAGUAGGGAAUCUUCCGCAAUGGGCGAAAGCUUGACGGAGCAACGCCGCGUGAGUGAUGAAGGUCUUCGGAUCGUAAAACUCUGUUAUUAGGGAAGAACAAAUGUGUAAGUAACUAUGCACGUCUUGACGGUACCUAAUCAGAAAGCCACGGCUAACUACGUG